rnacentral:rRNA from 1 species
UGGGGAAUUUUUGGACAAUGGGCGAAAGCCUGAUCCAGCAAUGCCGCGUGUGUGAAGAAGGCCUUCGGGUUGUAAAGCACUUUUGUCCGGAAAGAAAUCCUUGGCUCUAAUACAGUCGGGGGAUGACGGUACCGGAAGAAUAAGCACCGGCUAACUACGUGCCAGCAGCCGCGGUAAUACGUAGGGUGCAAGCGUUAAUCGGAAUUACUGGGCGUAAAGCGUGCGCAGGCGGUUUGCUAAGACCGAUGUGAAGUCCCCGGGCUCAACCUGGGAACUGCAUUGGUGACUGGCAGGCUAGAGUAUGGCAGAGGGGGGUAGAAUUCCACGUGUAGCAGUGAAAUGCGUAGAGAUGUGGAGGAAUACCGAUGGCGAAGGCAGCCCCCUGGGCCAAUACUGACGCUCAUGCACGAAAAGCGUGGGGAGCAAAACAGGAUUAGAUACCCUGGUAGUCCACGCCCUAAACGAUGUCAACUAGUUGUUGGGGAUUCAUUUCCUUAGUAACGUAGCUAACGCGUGAAGUUGACCGCCUGGGGAGUACGGUCGCAAGAUUAAAACUCAAAUGAA